GGGGGAGGCAGCCUAUAGAUCAGGUAAGUGAGGGAUGGGGGAGACAGCCUACAGGAAGGGUCAGCAAGGAGCAGGAAGGUAAAGUAAGAGAAGAAGCAGAAAGGAGCAGGAAGGGACAUUAAGGAGCAGAAAGGGGCAGCAAUGAGCUGGAAGGGACAGCAAGGAACACAAAAGGUAAAGUAGGAGAAGGAGCACAGAGGAACAUAAAUAAGGAGGAAGGGGCAUCAAGGAGCAUGAAGGGUCAGCAAGGAGCACAAAGGGUCCACAAGAAGCAGGAAGGGGCAGCAAGGAACUGGAAGGUAAAGCAGCACAAAGGUAAAGUAGAAGGAGAAGAAAGGGUCAGCAAGGAGCUGGAAAGGGCAGCAAGGAGCAGGAAGGGACAGAAGGAGCACAAAGGUAAAGUAGGAGAAGGAAGAGAAAUGAGCAGGAAGGGACAUCAAGGAGCAGCAAUGAGCUGGAAGGGGCAGAAGGAGCACAAACGUAAAGCAGGAGAAGGAGCAGAAAUUAGCAGGAAGGAUCUGCAAGGAGCAGGAAAGAUCUGCAAGGAGAAGGAAGGGUCUGCAAAGAGCAGAAAGGGACAGAAGGUGAACAAAGGUAAAGGAGCAGAAAGAAUCAGAAGGAGUACAAAUGUAAAGUAGGAGAAGGAGCAGAAAGGGUCUACAAGGAGCAGAAAGGGAUCAGUAAGAGAAAGGAACAGAAGGGUGCAAAAUAAGCAGAAAGUAGCAGAAAGGUAAAGGAGUAGAAGGAGCCAAUGAGGAGAGAAGACAGUGUCAGAAGAAAAAGAAGACUGUGUCAAAUAAUGGAGAAGAAAAGGAGAUUGGAGCAGGAAGGACAAGUGAAGUGAACCCUCCACUUGAUUCUGGACACCACAUCAUAAGGCUUUGGUACCUGGGCCUGGCAGGGAAACUUUGGACCUUCUCAUCUCCCCAGGUAAAAAAAAAAAUAUCAGUGUUAAUGUGUUGACUUUUAUUUACUGAGUGUCAGGAAGCAGAGUGCCGGUGGGUAGGAGUGUCGCUGAUUGGCUAGAGCGGUCAGCUGGCACUCUAAGCCAAUCAGUAGCUCACCAUUCAUAAAAAAGUAAAACUUUUUUAUGAACCGGGAACUAGCGAUUGGCUUAGAGCGUCAAUUGACCAUUCUAGCCAAUCUGCAGUACCCAUGCCUGACAUCAAUCUGCACUUCCUGCCACUCCGUUUCAGAAGCUGAAUACCACUGAGCGACCUGGAGAUCUGGAGCUGGAGGAAGCCUUUGGGGUUAAACCAUUUGAGAGCGGUUUAACCUCUUAAAGGAAAGAGAGCACCCCGGGGAUUCCUGGCAUCAUAAAAUUUAAUUUAGAUGAAGUUGUUAUGGUGACCAGAAUGUUCUUUUAAUUUGCUUAAAGGAACACUAUAGUGUCAGGAAUACAAACAUGUAUUCCUGACACCAUAGUUGUGAAAAUGCUAUUCACCUUUGCUUUAUGUGAUAAUGACUAUGCCCCUUUCCCUUUCUUGACACUGUCAAAAAGGGACCAAGCAUGGAUGUCAUUACAAUUCCCCCUCCCCCCCCGUGGAAAAAUUGCUGCGGACGCCCAUGGUGACUUGCCAAUGGAGAUUCUGCUGCUUUGGUAAAGUCAGAAUCGGUGCCCUUUUGUGGGUAACCCCACUCUGGGUAGGAGAUGCGUUUUCUACAGUCGUCGGUGGCAACCUCCAAGGUGACAAGUGAGUCAAGAACAGAACUCAGAGAACAGUCCAUCUAAUUGAGUCAGGAUAGAGGUUUCAGGUCUCGAGGCGUAAUGUUACAAAUGGCGUCUGCCAUCUUGUAUGAGAUAAGAUAGCUGCAGCUGAUGAAAUGGCUGCUUAUAUGUUGUCACCGUAACACAGGUAGUGAGUACCAGCAUAUCCAGGGGAGAGCACAAGGGAUAAUUACCAGAGUUUACUAAUUACAGGAGGCAAAUAUUAUACUUUUUCUCUUACUUUAUUCCUCAGCAGCAAAGAAAGGAUAUAAGAUAUUCAUAAAAAUCUUUUUUAAACAAGUACCCUAAAGGAUUAACCAUAACAUCAUAGCAUCUUAGCCAAUGAGAGCAGUCCACAUAGCCAUAUCAUCCCAUGUGACUCUUAGCCACUCCUCUUUCUUGGUGAUGCCGAAGCCAACCUUCAACGAAAAAAAUGAAAUUAAAGUAACUGGAUCAACACAUCAGACUGCCUAGCCGCCGAUAUCCUCCGCGUGAAUGGAUCUUUAGGAACACAUCCACUGUAAAUUGUAAAGAAAACCGAUCUUGAUGGUAGUAAUCAGCAAAGUGUCAAGCUGGAAGGGACAGAGAAAAGAAAUGGUAAAAUAUGUCCCAGAGACCAUCAUCCAUAUUACCACAGUACAGACUAGGCUGAAUGAUUUAAAUAUAUGCGACUAAAAUAAGCAUACAGUAGACAAUAAAAUCUUGACAUACUACAAAAAAACAAGCCAGACGUCAAAUCAAUCCCUAUGACUUAC